GGGCCCGCACAAGCGGUGGAGCAUGUGGUUUAAUUCGAUGCAACGCGAAAAACCUUACCUACCCUUGACAUCCCUGAAAGCAGCUAGAGAUAGCUGUGUGCCUUCGGGAAUCAGGUGACAGGUGCUGCAUGGCUGUCGUCAGCUCGUGUCGUGAGAUGUUAGGUUAAGUCCUGCAACGAGCGCAACCCCUAUACUUAGUUGCCAGCACAUAAUGGUGGGAACUCUAAGGAGACUGCCGGUGACAAACCGGAGGAAGGUGGGGGACGACGUCAAGUCAUCAUGGCCCUUACGGCCUGGGCUACACACGUGCUACAAUGGCUAGGACAGACGGCUGCAAACCAGCGAUGGGGAGCU
rnacentral:rRNA from 1 species